GGGAGCUCCAACACUCCUGCUAGGCUAGUUGUAACAGGUAUUGUAGUAGAGGUGGGUGAGGUCCAACACUCCUGCUAGGCUAGGUGUAACAGGUAUUGUAGUAGAGGGGAGCUCCAACACUCCUGCUAGGCUAGGUGUAACAGGUAUUGUAGUAGAGGGGAGCUCCAACACUCCUGCUAGGCUAGGUGUAACAGGUAUUGUAGUAGAGGUGGGUGAGGUCCAACACUCCUGCUAGGCUAGGUGUAACAGGUAUUGUAGUAGAGGGGAGCUCCAACACUCCUGCUAGGCUAGUUGUAACAGGUAUUGUAGUAGAGGUGGGUGAGGUCCAACACUCCUGCUAGGCUAGUUGUAACAGGUAUUGUAGUAGAGGUGGGUGAGGUCCAACACUCCUGCUAGGCUAGUUGUAACAGGUAUUGUAGUAGAGGUGGGUGAGGUCCAACACUCCUGCUAGGCUAGUUGUAACAGGUAUUGUAGUAGAGGUGGGUGAGGUCCAACACUCCUGCUAGGCUAGUUGUAACAGGUAUUGUAGUAGAGGUGGGUGAGGUCCAACACUCCUGCUAGGCUAGGUGUAACAGGUAUUGUAGUAGAGGGGAGCUCCAACACACCUGCUAGGCUAGGUGUAACAGGUAUUGUAGUAGAGGGGAGCUCCAACACUCCUGCUAGGCUAGGUGUAACAGGUAUUGUAGUAGAGGGGAGCUCCAACACUCUUGCUAGGCUAGGUGUAACAGGUGAACUCACUCUCAUUGGCUGCCGGCAUUAGCAAAUGAACC